rnacentral:rRNA from 1 species
GCUUGCUCCUCUGACGUUAGCGGCGGACGGGUGAGUAACACGUGGAUAACCUACCUAUAAGACUGGGAUAACUUCGGGAAACCGGAGCUAAUACCGGAUAAUAUAUUGAACCGCAUGGUUCAAUAGUGAAAGACGGUUUUGCUGUCACUUAUAGAUGGAUCCGCGCCGCAUUAGCUAGUUGGUAAGGUAACGGCUUACCAAGGCAACGAUGCGUAGCCGACCUGAGAGGGUGAUCGGCCACACUGGAACUGAGACACGGUCCAGACUCCUACGGGAGGCAGCAGUAGGGAAUCUUCCGCAAUGGGCGAAAGCCUGACGGAGCAACGCCGCGUGAGUGAUGAAGGUCUUCGGAUUGUAAAACUCUGUUAUUAGGGAAGAACAAAUGUGUAAGUAACUAUGCACGUCUUGACGGUACCUAAUCAGAAAGCCACGGCUAACUACGUGCCAGCAGCCGCGGUAAUACGUAGGUGGCAAGCGUUAUCCGGAAUUAUUGGGCGUAAAGCGCGCGUAGGCGGUUUUUUAAGUCUGAUGUGAAAGCCCACGGCUCAACCGUGGAGGGUCAUUGGAAACUGGAAAACUUGAGUGCAGAAGAGGAAAGUGGAAUUCCAUGUGUAGCGGUGAAAUGCGCAGAGAUAUGGAGGAACACCAGUGGCGAAGGCGACUUUCUGGUCUGUAACUGACGCUGAUGUGCGAAAGCGUGGGGAUCAAACAGGAUUAGA